rnacentral:rRNA from 1 species
GACGAACGCUGGCGGCGUGCUUAACACAUGCAAGUCGAACGGAAAGGCCCUGCUUUUGUGGGGUGCUCGAGUGGCGAACGGGUGAGUAACACGUGAGUAACCUGCCCUUGACUUUGGGAUAACUUCAGGAAACUGGGGCUAAUACCGGAUAGGAGCUCCUGCUGCAUGGUGGGGUUUGGAAAGUUUCGGCGGUUGGGGAUGGACUCGCGGCUUAUCAGCUUGUUGGUGGGGUAGUGGCUUACCAAGGCUUUGACGGGUAGCCGGCCUGAGAGGGUGACCGGCCACAUUGGGACUGAGAUACGGCGCAGACUCCUACGGGAGGCAGGAGUGGGGAAUAGUGCACAAUGGGCGGAAGCCUGAUGCAGCAACGCCGCGUGCGGGAUGACGGCCUUCGGGUUGUAAACCGCUUUCGCCUGUGACGAAGCGUGAGUGACGGUAAUGGGUAAAGAAGCACCGGCUAACUACGUG